GGGAUUGCCCCAGUAACGGCGAGUGAAGCGGCAACAGCUCAAAUUUGAAAUCUGGCCCCCCCGCGGGCCCGAGUUGUAUUUUGAAGAGGAUGCUUUUGGCGCGGCGCCUUCCUAGUGCCCUGGAACGGGACGCCAUAGAGGGUGAGAGCCCCGGCUGGUCGGACGCCCAUCCUCUGUAAAGCUCCUUCGACGAGUCGAGUAGUUUGGGAAUGCUGCUCUAGACGGGAGGUAUAUGUCUUCUAAAGCUAAAUACUGGCCAAAGACCGAUAGCGCACAAGUAGAGUGAUCGAAAGAUGAAAAGCACUUUGAAAAGAGGGUUAAACAGUACGUGAAAUUGUUGAAAGGGAAGCGCUUGUGACCAGACUCGGGCGCGGCGAAUCACCCGGCGUUCUCGCCGGUGUACUUCGACGCGCCCGGGCCAUCAUCUUGUCGCCGCGGGGGACAAAGGCGCCGGGAACGUGGCUCCCCAGGGAGUGUUAUAGCCCGGCGCGCAACGCCCCGCGGCGGACUGAGGUUCGCGCGUCCGCAAGGAUGCUGGCGUAAUGGUCACCAGUGACCCGUCUUGAAACACGGACCAAGGAGUCGUCCUCGUAUGCGAGUGUUCGGGUGUCAAACCCCUACGCGCAAUGAAAGUGAACGCGGGUGAGAGCCUCGCGGCGCAUCAUCGACCGAUCCUGAUGUUCUCGGAUGGAUUUGAGUAAGAGUAUACGGCGCCGGACCCGAGAGAGUGUGAUCUAUGCCUGUGUAGGGUGAAGCCAGAGGACACUCUGGUGGAGGCUCGCAGCGGCUCUGACGUGCAUUCGAUCGUCAUACAUGGGCAUGGGG
rnacentral:rRNA from 1 species